rnacentral:rRNA from 1 species
GUGGGGAAUAUUGGACAAUGGGCGAAAGCCUGAUCCAGCCAUGCCGCGUGUGUGAAGAAGGUCUUCGGAUUGUAAAGCACUUUAAGUUGGGAGGAAGGGCAGUAAGUUAAUACCUUGCUGUUUUGACGUUACCGACAGAAUAAGCACCGGCUAACUUCGUGCCAGCAGCCGCGGUAAUACGAAGGGUGCAAGCGUUAAUCGGAAUUACUGGGCGUAAAGCGCGCGUAGGUGGUUUUGUAAGUGGGAGGUGAAAUCCCCGGGCUCAACCUGGGAACUGCCCUCAAAACUGCAUGACUAGAGUACGGUAGAGGGUAGUGGAAUUUCCUGUGUAGCGGUGAAAUGCGUAGAUAUAGGAAGGAACACCAGUGGCGAAGGCGACUACCUGGACUGAUACUGACACUGAGGUGCGAAAGCGUGGCGAGCAAACAGGAUUAGAUACCCGAGUAGUCC